rnacentral:rRNA from 1 species
CAAGGCUUGACAUACACUGGAAUGUGCCAGAGAUGGUUCAGCCCUUUUGGGCUGGUGUACAGGUGGUGCAUGGUUGUCGUCAGCUCGUGUCGUGAGAUGUUGGGUUAAGUCCCGCAACGAGCGCAACCCUCGUUCUAUGUUGCCAGCACGUGAUGGUGGGAACUCAUAGGAGACUGCCGGGGUCAACUCGGAGGAAGGUGGGGAUGACGUCAAAUCAUCAUGCCCUUUAUGUCUUGGGCUUCACGCAUGCUACAAUGGUCGGUACAAAGGGUUGCGAUGCCGUGAGGUGGAGCGAAUCCCAGAAAGCCGAUCUCAGUUCGGAUCGUAGUCUGCAACUCGACUACGUGAAGUCGGAGUCGCUAGUAAUCGCAGAUCAGCAACGCUGCGGUGAAUACGUUCCCGGGCCUUGUACA